rnacentral:rRNA from 1 species
AUUGAACGCUAGCGGGAUGCUUUACACAUGCAAGUCGAACGGAGUGGCGUACGGGUGAGUAAUAUAUCGGAACGUGCCCAGUAGCGGGGGAUAACUACUCGAAACAGUUGCUAAUACCGCCUACUAUUGGAUCGGCCGAUUUCGGAUUAGCUAGUUGGUGGGGUAAAGGCUCACCAAGGCAAAGAUCCGUAGCUGGUUUGAGAGGACGAACAGCCACACUGGAACGGAGACACGGCCCAGACUCCUACGGGAGGCAGCAGUGGGGAAUUUUGGACAAUGGGGGAAACCCUGAUCCAGCCAUCCCGCGUGUAUGAAGAAGGCCUGCGGGUUGUAAAGUACUUUUAGCAGGGAAGCGGUAUCUGCAGAAUAAGCACCGGCUAACUACGUGCCAGCAGCCGCGGUAAUAC